ACUCCUACGGGAGGCAGCAGUAGGGAAUCUUCCACAAUGGGCGCAAGCCUGAUGGAGCAACACCGCGUGAGUGAAGAAGGGUUUCGGUUCGUAAAGCUCUGUUUGUUAAAGAAGAACACGUAUGAGAGUAACUGUUCAUACGUUGACGGUAUUUAACCAGAAAGUCACGGCUAACUACGUGCCAGCAGCCGCGGUAAUACGUAGGUGGCAAGCGUUAUCCGGAUUUAUUGGGCGUAAAGAGAGUGCAGGCGGUUUCUAAGUCUGAUGUGAAAGCCUUCGGCUUAACCGGAGAAGUGCAUCGGAAACUGGAUAACUUGAGUGCAGAAGAGGUAGUGGAACUCCAUGUGUAGCGGUGGAAUGCGUAGAUAUAUGGAAGAACACCAGUGGCGAAGGCGGCUACCUGGUCUGCAACUGACGCUGAGACUCGAAAGCAUGGGUAGCGAACAGGAUUAGAUACCCCUGGUAGGAUAGCG
rnacentral:rRNA from 1 species